ACCCUGGUGGCUCAGAGGUUAAAGCGUCUGCCUGCAAUGCAGGAGACCCGGGUUCGAUCCCUGGGUUGGGCA
rnacentral:tRNA from 1 species